UCAGAUUGAACGCUGGCGGCAGGCUUAACACAUGCAAGUCGAGCGGGGGAAGGUAGCUUGCUACUGGACCUAGCGGCGGACGGGUGAGUAAUGCUUAGGAAUCUGCCUAUUAGUGGGGGACAACAUCUCGAAAGGGAUGCUAAUACCGCAUACGUCCUACGGGAGAAAGCAGGGGAUCUUCGGACCUUGCGCUAAUAGAUGAGCCUAAGUCGGAUUAGCUAGUUGGUGGGGUAAAGGCCUACCAAGGCGACGAUCUGUAGCGGGUCUGAGAGGAUGAUCCGCCACACUGGGACUGAGACACGGCCCAGACUCCUACGGGAGGCAGCAGUGGGGAAUAUUGGACAAUGGGGGGAACCCUGAUCCAGCCAUGCCGCGUGUGUGAAGAAGGCCUUAUGGUUGUAAAGCACUUUAAGCGAGGAGGAGGCUACUUUAGUUAAUACCUAGAGAUAGUGGACGUACUCGCAGAAUAAGCACC
rnacentral:rRNA from 1 species